rnacentral:tRNA from 1 species
GCCUUCGUGGUAUAGUGGUUUGCGUGCUCGACGCGUAACCGAGAGGUCCGUGGUUCGAUUCCCGGUGAAGGCG